rnacentral:rRNA from 1 species
UACGGGGGGAGCAAGCGUUGUUCGGAUUUACUGGGCGUAAAGGGCGCGUAGGCGGCGUGACAAGUCACUUGUGAAAUCUCCGGGCUUAACUCGGAGCGGUCAAGUGAUACUGUCGUGCUAGAGUGCGGAAGGGGCUACUGGAAUUCUCGGUGUAGCGGUGAAAUGCGUAGAUAUCGAGAGGAACACCUGCGGCGAAGGCGGGUUGCUGGGCCGACACUGACGCUGAUGCGCGAAAGCCAGGGGAGCGAACGGG